rnacentral:rRNA from 1 species
CGGACGGGUGAGUAACACGUGGAUAACCUACCUAUAAGACUGGGAUAACUUCGGGAAACCGGAGCUAAUACCGGAUAAUAUUUUGAACCGCAUGGUUCAAAAGUGAAAGAUGGUCUUGCUGUCACUUAUAGAUGGAUCCGCGCUGCAUUAGCUAGUUGGUAAGGUAACGGCUUACCAAGGCAACGAUGCAUAGCCGACCUGAGAGGGUGAUCGGCCACACUGGAACUGAGACACGGUCCAG